rnacentral:rRNA from 1 species
ACCCUCGGGAAACUGAGAAUAAUACUCCUAGGUCUAGAGGUGGAAUGUUUAUGGACCAACAGCUCAGCUCCGGAGCCUAAGUUGAUUCUUUUGGCUAUCAGGGGUUGAGUAAGGAAUAAUAACCUGACUAGCCCUACGACGGAUACGGGUUGUGAGAGCAAUAACCCGGAGAUGAUAUCUGAGACACGAUAUCAGGCCCUACGGGGCGCAGCAGGCGCGAAAACUUCACACUGCGCGAAAGCGCGGUGAAGGAAAUCCCAAGUGCUUGCUCUUAGGGAGCAAGCUGUUUCUCUGUCUAAAAAGCAGAGAGAGUAAGAGCUGGGUAAAGACGGGUCCCAGCCCGCCCGCGGUAAAUACCCUGCAGGCUCGAGUGGUGGCCCGUAAUAUAUUGGGCCCUAAAACGUCCCGUAGCCCGGCCCUUUGUAAAAUGCCUGGGUAAAUCGUACGGCUUAAACCGUCACGAAUUCCUGGGUAGACUGCGAGGCUUGAGAUCCGGGAAGAGGCUAGAAGUACCUCCUGGGGUAAGAGGUGAAAUUCUGUAAUCCUAGGGGGACCCACCAGUGCCAAAGCCGUCUAGCUAGGAACGAGUUUGACGGUGAGGAACGAAGCCUGGGCCGCAAACGGGAAUUAAGAUACCCCGGUAGUCCAGGUGUAAACCGCUGCUUGCUUGAGUAGUCCGGCUCCCGACCCUGAUAGUGUCCGAAGAGAGUUGUAGCAAGGCUGCUGGAAGUACGUCGCAGGACUGAACUUAAA